AGAAAGAGAGACAAAGGAGAGAGAAGAAGCAGAGAAGAAAGAGAGAGAAAGGUUGGAGAAGGAUAUGCAGGAACAAGAGAUGUUGAAAAAGGAAAAAGAGGAGAUGGAGAGGAAGGAAAGAGAAAGGUUGGAGAAGGAAAAGGAGGAACACGAGAGGUUGAAAAAGGAGAAAGAGGAGAUGGAGAGGAAGGAGAGAGAAAGGGCAGAGAAGAAAGAGAGGGAUAGGUUGGAGAAGGAAAAGCAGGAACAAGAGAGGUUGAAAAAGGAAAAAGAGGAAAUGGAGAGGAAGGAGAGAGAAAGGGCAGAGAAGAAAGAGAAGGAAAGGUUGGAGAAGGAAAAGCAGGAACAAGAGAGGUUGAAAAAGGAGAAAGAGGAAAUGGAGAGGAAGGAGAGAGAAAGGGCAGAGAAGAAAGAGAAGGAAAGGGAGGAACAAGAGAGGUUGAAAAAGGAAAAAGAGGAGAAAGAAAGGGCAGAGAAAAAAGAGAGGGAUAGGUUGGAGAAGGAAAAGCAGGAACAAGAGAGGUUGAAAAAGGAGAAAGAGGAGAUGGAGAGGAAGGAGAGAGAAAGGUAGGAGAUGGAGAGUAAGGAGAGAGAAAGGUUGGAGAAGAAAAAGCAGGAACAAGAGAGGUUGAAAAAGGAGAAAGAGGAAAUGGAGAGGAAGGAGAGAGAAAGGGCAGAGAAGAAAGAGAAGGAAAGGUUGGAGAAGGAAAGGGAGGAACAAGAGAGGUUGAAAAAGGAAAAAGAGGAGAUGGAGAGGAAGGAGAGAGAAAGGUUGGAGAAGGAAAAGCAGGAACAAGAGAGGUUGAAAAAGGAAAAAGAGGAGAUGGAGAGGAAGGAGAGAGAAAGGUUGGAGAAGGAAAAGGAGGAACGCGAGAGGUUGAAAAAGGAGAAAGAGGAAAUGGAGAGGAAGGAGAGAGAAAGGGCAGAGAAGAAAGAGAAGGAAAGGUUGGAGAAGGAAAGGGAGGAACAAGAGAGGUUGAAAAAGGAAAAAGAAGAGAAAGAAAGGGCAGAGAAAAAAGAGAGGGAUAGGUUGGAGAAGGAAAAGCAGGAACAAGAGAGGUUGAAAAAGGAGAAAGAGGAGAUGGAGAGGAAGGAGAGAGAAAGGGCAGAGAAGAAAGAGAAGGAAAGGUUGGAGAAGGAAAGGGAGGAACAAGAGAGGUUGAAAAAGGAAAAAGAGGAGAAAGAAAGGGCAGAGAAAAAAGAGAGGGAAAGGUUGGAGAAGGAAAAGCAGGAACGAGAGAGGUUAAAAAAGGAGAAAGAGGAGAUGGAGAGGAAGGAGAGGGAAAGGUUGGAGAAGGAAAAGGAGGAACAAGAGAGGUUGAAAAAGGAAAAAGAGGAGAUGGAGAGGAAGGAGAGAGAAAAGGCAGAGAAGAAAGAGAAGGAAAG